ensembl:snoRNA
UAGCCAGCCUCCUGCGUGCUUGGGUCUGCCGGGACCCUGUGCAUUCCUACAGUGCUUUCCAGAACUGUUUUGGAGUGGUUUGGGCCUUGCCCUGCUUUCUCCAGAGCAAGGUAAUAGAAACUUCAGACAAUU